GGACACUGAACUCCUUGGCACAGCUUGGCCGUUUUACAGGUCUGGGUUGGAUUCUGGCACCAGAAACACCUCAGACCUUUGAUGGGGUAGUGACCAGCUCAGGUUAUGGCAAUACAGAGGACAAAGCUCUGUAUGUGCUUUCAUCGCUUGCUGUCAGCCCACAAGAGAAAGAAGCCAUUGAGAGAGCCACAGUUGGGCAAACUAAGAAUGCCUUAUGGAUGGCAUAUCGCCACAAAAUAAUCACAGCAAGCAACUUCGGUUUGGUGUUGGCAGCAUUGAAGCGGAACUCUUACCCUCCUUCCUUAUUCAAAACCCUGCUUGGCCAAUACAACCUCAAACAAGUGUUUUGAAUUGAAGCAUACUUCCAUAUUAUACAUAUAAUUGUAUGCAUUUGAAAAUACAUGAAUAUAUAAAUUAAUAUUAAUAAUACUACUAUGUCAAUGUUAUGCCUAGAGUAUAGGAAUGCAUACUACGUCUAGUCAAAUUUUGUAGGAUGCAAAGCCACCACUUUUGUGUCAUUUAGUAUGCGAUACGGAAUGCAGGGAUAGUCUUCACGAUUACACCUUUUUCCUUCCCUGGCCCCAGGCUUGUGAUUGGGGAAUCCUCCAUGAGC
rnacentral:lncRNA from 1 species